AGAAAAAACUAGGGGUAAAGCAGGGCUGCUAACUUUGCUUUGGGUAAAUCGAUAUUAUCCUUUUUCUU
rnacentral:tRNA from 1 species